UAAACCUUGUCAAAACUAGUAUAAACAAGGGGAAUUCGGCUGUUUAAUUAAAACAAAGCAUUGCAAUGGUCCCUGCAGAUGUUGACACAAUGUGAUUUAUACCCAGUGCUCUGCAUGUGAAAGUGAAGAAAUUCAACCAAGCGCGAGUAAACACCGAGAGUAAUUAUGACUCUCUUAAGGUAGCCAGAUGCCUCGCCAUCUAAUUAGUGACAUGAGUGAAUGAAUUAACAAGAUUCGCACUAUCCCUAGCUAUUAUCUAUAGAAACUAAAGACAAUAGAUAUUAU
rnacentral:ncRNA from 1 species